GAUCACGUAACAAUCGUUGGACCUCAGUUGGUUUAGUACGCUGUUACACAGCAAUGUGGACACUCACUCAAAUACAAGGAACAGGUGUAAGGCAAAUUUACCUUUUAUCAGGCAAAGAGUACAGAGUAGGAAGGAAAGAUUGCGACGUUUUACUGGAAGAUAAAUCGGUCAGCAGAUUUCACGCUGUUCUGAACGUUGUUUCUUCUACCCAGAGUCAGAAUAGUCAUAACGCCAAUACAAAUGUUAGCCUAACUGAUAAAGGCUCAAAGUUUGGAACAAAAGUGAAUGACAGACAACUUGCUGCUAAUGAAACGGUUGCCAUUCACAAUGGAGAUGUUGUCAUGUUUGGAAUGCAAGGGUCCUUCAAAGUUGGCUUUGAGCAACUGGUGUUUUGUUGCUCAGGAAUGCUUGUAGAAGAAAAGAGGGCAUUGAAGCCUAUAGUGAACAAGCUCGGAGGCAGAAUCAGCAAUGAUUGGACAAGUGACUGCACACACUUGGUUAUGAACAGCAUUACAGUCACUAUUAAGGUGGUUGCUGCUCUAGUGACUUGUAAACCAAUUAUCAUACCAAGAUGGCUAGAGCAAGCUUGUACAUGCGUUGAGCAAAAUGACCCUUUGCCAGAUCCCUCACAGUAUCUCCCAACAUUGGCUGAGGAGUCACUGCAAAAUACAAAAAUCUCUUUUCUGCCUGAUGAGAGAAGACAGAAACUGCUCUGUGGAAAAACUGUAAUACUGCUUACAAAGAAAAUGUUUGAACGACUGCAGCUAACAAUAAUUAAUGCUGGAGGUCGCAGUCAACUUUUGAAUUACAACACUAAAGCAUCUGACAUGUGCAAGCUCAUAGAUCAUGACACAAUUGUAUUAUCUGUUGAUCUUCCUCAAAACUGUGCUCCUCAAGAGAAAGAAUGGGUUAUGCGAGCAACAAAAUUCAUUCAAAAAAACCAACGUCGGUUAAUUCAAGAGUCUCAGCUUGGACUUGCAAUUCUUCAUGUGUCAUUAGAAAAUUUCUGCAACCCUUUUAGUAAAUGUCAGCAGUCAAGUCAGACAUCGGUCACUUGCACUCAAACUCAGUCACUUUCUAUGGCUGGACCUGAUCAUUCUACAAACGAACGUCCCCUUCAGAGAUCAAAUGUAGAUAACAGUUUAGUGGUACAAGAUGAUAGCAGUUUUAGUCAACAAAAUCCUUCAAAACGGCAUUGUGGAGACAAGAAUACAAGACAAAAACAAAGCAUAGCAGACUGUUUGACUGGAGGAAAUGUAGGAAGUAAUAUACCGUACUGUACCUCAUUUUGGGCAUUUCCCCGACAAGUUCCCGACAUAUUUCCUGAGCCUUUACUAAUCACAAAUAGUAGUAAAGAGGCUAUUCCAACUACUUGUGCUUCAGAAACGGCAACGACAGCUACAGUGGCAGUCACAAAUGGGUCUGAACGAGAACAGGAAAGUGUUGAGGAACCUGACAUGAAACCUGAAAGGCAAUGUCUUAUCAGCGAUAGUAGUAUGUUUGCAGACCUUCCAUCAGGUCAGCAAAUAAAGUACACACGCCAAACUGCAGCAACUCUUCAUGGACAGAUGCGUUCAAGUUUCAGUUGUAUAAUUUAUAAGGACAGAGAUCUUCCAUCGAACAUUACAAAAACUGAAUUCAGAGAUCUGAGCUUUGUAGCACCACAAAGAGAGUCAUUUGCAUCAAGCAGAGACUCUUAUGGUUUUGAUACUAGUGGUGUCAUCAACGUCAAAAUUUUUAGAAAGGCCUUUAUGAUUGAUGAGAAAGCGUCUCAGGCUGUUUAUCCCAAUCAGUUCUACGUACAUGAAAACAAAGCUAAGGAGGAGUGGAGAAAAGAAACGCUGGCUAAGAUUGCUGAAGAGGAUGCCAAAACGAGACUUGAAUAUGAAGAAGAAGGAGAAGAAGAGAAAAAUUUGUUUAAGUGGUAGUGGCCCAUCAAGAAGGCUAAAGUGUGAUAGCUGCAAACUGAUUGUUUGGAUCAGGAUUAGGAUUUUUGUUGGUAGAUUAAGGUAUCGUGAAAACAUCAUGAUGUGUUGUGGUGUGUUGGUGCCCAGCUUAAAAGAAGUUAUACUGUGAUCAAUCGUUGUCUACUUCGAGUCUUGAAUGGCACAGAAAAACUAUACAUAAGGAAAAUGUUGAUAACUUCUGCAGUGUCUUCAGUUGAGAGCAGCAGCAAAGGGACAUGAUAAUAUGACUAGAUUAUCGUUUGAAACCAUUGUACGUUACAAUCAUCUGAAUGAUAUCAAUUGGAAACAAGGAACUUUAAAGAUCAAAUUUGUUGGUUUUGGAUUGACACAGAUAAGUCAAAUUUCACCAACAGCUUUCUUAUCUUCAUGGUGUCAAGCCAUGAAAGACUUAACGGAGAGAUUUUUAUCAUUUUUUGAUUUAGUCAUCUAUGUUCAAAGCAGUAAAUCACUGCCAGAGUCAAUCGGCUCCACUGCGGCCUCUUCCUAUCAAGCUUUACUACAAAUGCCCAAGUCAAACCACGAAGAUGGAGAACAACAGUCUCUUGAUGACCUUAUCUCAUAUCCAAAGAAAUUACAGCAUUGAUUAUCCACAAAGAUUGCCAGUGAUAGUGCUACUGAUAUUAUUAUACAAGCACAGUCUGAUAGAGAUGCAGCACGGUUGAGGUUCCUGCAAGGAUGAGGGGCUGGUGCAUGGCUGGAUGUCAUCCCCACUUCUGCUAAGCACGCUUUAAAAACAAACGAAUUUUCUUUAGCAUCUUACCUGAGGUUGGGAGAGGCUCUACCUUCACCAAUUGGAUUAAAAAGUGUGAUAGUGGUCAUGAUUUGGAUGAAUACGGAUACCAUCUUUUGACCUGUAAAUAUGGAGGUGGAUCUGUGUGGUCUCACAAUUCAGUCUUAAAUGGGUGGAGUGAAUGCCUGUCUGACCUUCACCUUCCUCAUCAAACACAACCAAGACAUAAAUACAUCAAUACUGAAGACCGUCCAGACAUUACAAUGUUUAAUCCAAAUACGUACUAGACAGAAUUGGGAUCUUGAUGUGUCCCUGGCUCAUCAAUGCAGUCAAGACAUUAUUAGGAGGGCUAGCAAGGAAAAUGGUCAUGCUGCCACGACAGAGAAGAGAAGAAAAUGAAAAAAUAUUUAGAAGAGCUUGUUCCAGGAGGAUAUGUAUCAAGAUUUUUUCCUCUUGUGAUAGAACAUUUUGGGAGGUGGGGCACAAAGUCAGAGAAUUCUUUGCACCAUUUGUCACAGCAGUCAGCAAAUCAAGAAGCCAAUUUUAAUGCUUUCAUUUUCAUGUCGUAUUGGAGAUAAAGAUUCUCUACAAUUCUGCAAAGAUGUAAUACCAAAUUAUCAACUGUCACCUAAUCAUGGUGAUUUAGAUAGAUUAUUUGAUUUUGACAUUCAAAGUCAAGUCCAAUAGUUAAUGACUUUGUUAUUUACAAGGACUGAUUGUAAUUUUUAAAAAUUGUAGCAUAUGUACAAGUACAAUUUGUAUGAGAAUAAAUUAUCUGUCUGUCUGUCUCUGUCUGUCUUCUUUCACUAUUGAACACAAAAAGCAAAAUUUUACAAGAACACUAUAGGUAAAACUGCUAAGCUAAAUGUCUGUCUGUCUGUCUGUCUGUCUGUCUGUCUGUCUGUCUGCCUGUCUGUCUGUCUGUCUGUCUGUCUGCCUGUCUGUCUGUCUGUCUGUCUGUCUAUCGGCCGCUAUGAUGAGUCGGCAGAAUUGUUUCUGCAAGAACUGGUAAACAUAGGCAAAAGCUAUUGGAGAUACCAAACAGCAGUCGAAUUUCUCACUGACUGGAGGCGACGCCUUUCUAUUCUAUCUCGCCUCUCACAUGGUCAAGUAGAGAGACAAAUUUAGAGAUAGGGAUAUUCAGUUUUAUCUAUUAAGUUGGAAUUGAUGAACAGAGUAAUGGACUGAGGUGGAUUUGUAUACUUUGUCCUAUCUUUAUAGUUUAAAAUCAAUGAAACAAUCUGUCUGUCUGUCUAUCUGACUGACUGACUGACUGACUGAUUGCAUGCCUGACUGCGUGCGUGUGAGUGUGCUCUUGUGUGUUGUCUAAUGUUGUUAGGUAGUCGUGUAUUUGUGAUCAUAGGGUUGUGCGCGUACUUAUUAUUACAGGAAGAGUACACGUUAUCACAUUUAAC